GCAAGGGAUGACCAAAUUAUGUUGACAGUUAAAACAACAACAACACGAACAAUAAUCCGAUAUAAUUUUACUUAGUGCGAUCUAGAAAUGAUAGUGUGUGCGCAGAGCUUACCCCUACUUUAGGAUAGAGAAGUUGUUUCCAAAUAUACCCUCGAGAUUCUUCCCUCCAAAAAUUUUCACCUUACUCUUAGAGAGACUCGAAACUCAAGAGCAUCGUAAAUAAUUUGUGACAAAAAAUAAAAUCGUCAAAAUUCACAAAAAAAUUGUUUUGUCAUCUCACUGUCACAAACAUGUCACAAUUUUGCAUAACUCUGUCAGGCAUAAAUAUUCCAUCACAAAUAUAUGUUUUUCUUGUAAGUGUUUACUAUAGUCAAUCAGAUUGCAUUACAAGUGCCACCUGCACCUCUCAAUUAAUCUUCACAGGUUUUUGCCAACAAAUAAAGUGUAAGGAAGACAAGGUUAGUUGGGUUGUAGAAUGAAUUUACCAAAAUUCUUUUUAUCAAUAUAUCUUGAUCUUGGUAUCUUUAGUUAAUUUGGUGUUGAUUUUUAGGGAAAGUGUACUUGCCGAGAUGAGAAGUAAAAACAUUUAUUUGUAUAAUAUAUCAUGUCAUGAAAGUUACGAGAAUAGACCUAUCGAAUUUCUUUUUCACCUGAAACCAUAGAGCUCGCAGAAAAAAGAGAUAAGAGACAGAAUGUGGAGUGACCGACAGGAAGACACCAUUUUGGUGUGUUUUCUUUUAACUACAGUACCUCGAAGUGACAUGAGCACACUUGUUAAAGUUUAUGGGUUUGUAAUUCUAAUCGUUUUAAAUUAUUGGAUUCUAAAUAAUUUAGACAUAUUUAAUAAAUUUUUUAAGACAAAUACAGAUUCGAACUGAAACUUGGGAUUCGACCGAACCCGCUGACUACAGUCUAGUUCCGCCCCUGCUGCAGACUGUACUAGACCUUGGACUAGGCAUAAAGAAAAUAGCAACAUUUCCAUUAAGAAAAGACAUGAUCACAGAUCCCAUUUUUUAGGCUCGAAAUAAAAAAACAACUCUUAUAAACUAAACUACCGUCCAAGCUUUAAUUUAUAAUGUCAUCCAUGGAACCUCGUUUCAAACUUCAAGACAAUUAAUGAUCUCCUAACAAGAAAAGAUAUAUUUAGAGGGAUGUUUCAGCUGAAAAAUGGACCUUGCAUUUCAGUUGUUUCAAGCUUGCUACCUUUUCAUAAUUCCACUCGCCAUUUGCUAGGAACUCUUAUACUUCCUAAUUGUAUUCAAAGAUUUUCUGCAAUUAUGUGAAAUUGACAUAAAAGCACAAAAAUCAGUCCCAUUAUGCCACAAAAUCUAGUUCCCAGGUUCAUAUUUGACAUGCAUAAGCUUCUUCUAAAAAUUGGGUGUCCAGAUUACUAGCCUUGACAAUAAGAUGUGUUGACAACCAGAUUCACGAACAAUUUCUCUCGAUUAUGAUGAGCAGAGCCCUAAUUUUGGUAUUUGCAUGCUAAUAUUGAAAAUGAAUAAUCUGAUCUAAUCCACUGUACAUCUAUAUAUAUAUAUGAACCGCACUAGUUGUAUUAUUAUCCGAUAUAGUCGAUUUUGCUGCAUUCAUUGGGGAAUGCAUACCCUUCUCAUUCAUUUUUCUCUUGAGAUGGAGAACUCUAUUUUGGACUACUCAUCUCUAUGUCUUGUUAAGAAAUAACUUGAGUCUGGAAUUGUGUCAAUUCAAAUUUUAAUGCAUGUAAAUAUAAGAGAAUUAUAUAUUAUAAUUUUAUGUAUAAAUAUAAGAUGUAUAAGAUGGGGUUGGAAACAAGAUAGAGUCUAAUAUAAAACAAUUAGUGUUGAUAUGGUCUUUAUUAAGAUUAUAAUCUUCUUCAUAAGUGGUAUGACUUUAGAUGGUUUGAUUAAUGAUAAAAAAAAUAUAGGAUGUCGUUGUUUAGUUGUUACUUUUUCUUUUUUGUUUUUAUGGUAUGGUAAAAGUUAUAAGGUAAAAAUGGCAAGCGAUAAAAAUAUUUUUGUGAUUGAAGUCUUAUGUUGUAAAAUCCUACUCUGUACUCUCUCUCUCUCUUAUUCUGUAGAUCUAUAUUGUUACAGUAUUACCAAAAUUAUGAACUGAAAUUACCCCUUCUAUACUUCUUUUUUUCACUCUGUUCAUCUCUUCUUCCCAACCUUUUAAAGAAAUAAUCUUUUCUUAACUCUUUUUUCUUUAACCUUACCCCUGGCCACAGUUAAACGUAUAUACCCAUUUUUGGUUAAUUUUGGUUUUGACUUAACCAGUUUCUCCUAGGAAUUUAUCGGUUAAUCCAUCAAAAUUAUUAAGAAAUUAAGUGUAGCUCUAACACCCCUCGCAAGCUGGAAAGGCUAAUCAUUCCAAGCUUGGGAAGGAAAGCAUGCAGUUGCACACCAAGUAAAGACUCGGUGAAGACAUCAGCAGGUUGAUCAGCAGCAGAAAUGAAAUGAAGAGAAAUCAGGCCAGAAGCCAAAACAUCCUGGACAAAGUGGCAAUCAACCUCUAUAUGUUUGGUGCGCUCAUGAAAAUAGGAUUCCGAGCAAUGUGAAUUGUUGCCUGAUUGUCACAACGGAGAGCAAGAAGAGAAAGACAAUCAAUACCAAUCUCUCCCAAUAAUCUAACCAACCAAACAACCUCAGUUACCAAUAGCCGCAAAGCUUUAUAUUCAUCCUCAGCAGAAGACAAAGCAAUGGUAGGUUGUUUCUUUAAUUUCCAAGAAACAGGACACCCACCUAGGAGCAGCAGAAAAUCAGAAACUGUCCGUCUUGAAUUAGAACAACUAGCCCAAUCAGAAUCAGAAUACCCAUGUAGAGAAAAAUCAGAUGCAUUGUUCAAAAGAAGGCCCAUAGAGGAAGUACCAGCUAGAUAUCUCAAGACAUGAUAAGUUGCCUCCAAGUGAGGCACUCUAGGAGCAGACAUGAAUUGACUUAAAUGUUGGACAGUGAAGAGAAGAGUGCGGAAUCAUGCAAUUAGUCGCACCCGAAUCUAUAAUCAAAAGGUUGUUCUCUAUCUUAGAAAAACUGCAAGAAUUUUUUUUUAAAAUCAGAGUUGCCUAUCAGACCUGUAAAAUUUGCAAAACCAACAGAGAUCUCUUAAGCAGGUGGUGAGACUUUAGAUUGCUGAAGAAGACUUAGCAGCUAUCAAAUUGUUCUUUGCAAUGGUAGCACCCCUAUAUUCAGAUUGAACAAGUCUGUGAGCAUUGCUAGUAGCAUCAUGCUCCCCCAUGGAUUGAGAAUCUGAAGCUUUGCAAAAGCAGUAGUCCUUUUGAAUUUAGAUUGAAAACUAGGUGGAAAACUAUUAACUUGAUGCACUUGUCAAUCAUAUGUCCAAUCUUCUUGCAGUAUUUUCACACUAGAGGACUCUUUUUGUUUUGUUCAAACUUAACUUUUUGAUAAUAUGAUUUUUUAAUUCUAGUGGAGAAAGCAGCAGAACCAAAAUUGAAAGAAGGUGUGGGAGUGUGAAUCUCAACCGGACUUUCAUCAUUAAUGAGCAUGUCAUAAACACUAUCCACAUCAGAAAGUGGCUUUCUGCUAUUCAUCCAAUCUUUGGAAAGGCUCCUUGCAACCACAAGUACAAUUAGGGUACGAAAUAGAAAAGGAUAGUUCGUCCCACAACUUCUUAAUUGUGUUGAAAUAUGGAGGCAAUAUUGGAAGUACCCUGAGAUAUUGAAUAAAUCUCUUUGCUAAUUUGAAACUUUUUGAUUCCACUGGCUUGACCAAACCUACGUUCAAUCUCUUUCCAAAUUUUCUCAGCAGAUUCAGUGUACAUAAUAGUGUGGCUUAACUGUUUAGACUUCAAGUAACAACCAUAUCGUUACAUUGGAUCCAUGGCUCGAGAAGACGGGAAGUAGAGCUAGGUUUCGAAAUAGAUCCAUUAAUCAUUCCUUGUUUAUUCUUACAAGACAACCCUAAGAGCAUCCCACUUCUCCAGCUCCCAUGACCAAAACCAUUGAAAGGUGUAGUAACCAAAAUUGUUUCCGGAUAAACAGAAAUAAGAAUGUACAAUGGUGAGGCAGGGGGAACACCGGAAUUAUUGCUAACACCAAACCCAUUGUCGGAAGUCGGACCCAUACUAAUAACAAAAACAGGUUAAAGCAACAAAUUGAGCAAAUAUUUUGUGAAACUAGAGUUUCAGCAAAGUAGAAUAUCAGUUGACUUCUUCAAAGAAUAGUUUGAAAGAGCCAAACUUUGAGAGAACAACAGCAACCAAACCAGAAAAUAAUAGUUCCGAGAAGAGAAAUAACUACUUGCCAGAAAAGACAAACGACGAUAAAAAAACUCAAAAUUUAUAACUCGUACCUCAAAUUACAGACAUUAUCGCUAAAAUCGAGAGAAUCGAUCUGGAUCUAGCAUAAUCCAAGCUCUGAUAUCAUGUUGACAACCAGAUUCACAAACAAUUUCUCUCGAUUAGAAUGAGCAGAACCCUAAUUUUGGUAUCUGUGUAAUGAUAUGAAACAUAGAGAGAGAGAAUGUGAAAGUGGAGUUUUAUUU
rnacentral:lncRNA from 1 species